rnacentral:rRNA from 1 species
AACGAACGCUGGCGGCAGGCUUAACACAUGCAAGUCGAACGCCCCGCAAGGGGAGUGGCAGACGGGUGAGUAACGCGUGGGAACGUACCCCAAGGUUCGGAACAACGCCGGGAAACUGGCGCUAAUACCGGAUGUGACCGUGAGGUGAAAGAUUUAUCGCCUUGGGAUCGGCCCGCGUUGGAUUAGGUAGUUGGUGGGGUAAUGGCCCACCAAGCCUACGAUCUAUAGCUGGUCUGAGAGGAUGAUCAGCCACACUGGGACUGAGACACGGCCCAGACUCCUACGGGAGGCAGCAGUGGGGAAUUUUGGACAAUGGGCGCAAGCCUGAUCCAGCCAUGCCGCGUGAAUGAUGAAGGCCUUAGGGUUGUAAAAUUCUUUCGUCAGGGACGAUAAUGACGGUACCUGAAGAAGAAGCCCCGGCUAACUUCGUGCCAGCAGCCGCAGUAA